UUUUUUUUUUUUUUUUUUUGAGAUGGAGUCUGGCUCUGUUACCCAAGCUGGAGUGCAGUGGCACGAUCACGGCUCACUGUAACCUCUGCCUCCCGGGUUCAAGCGAUUCUCCUGCCUCAACCUCCCUAGUAGCUGGGAUUACAGGUGCACACCACCAGGCUGGCUAAUUUUUCUAUUUUUAGUAGAGACAGGGUUUCACCAUGUUGGCGGGGCUGGUCUCGAACUCCUGGCCUCAGGUGAUCCGCCCACCUCGGCCCCCCAAAGUGUUGGGAUUACAGGCAUGAGCCACUGCACCCGGUUCCAUAGUUUCUUUUAACCAGCUUAUGUAAAUUUGCUAGUGCAGAAACUUGUGAUUUACCAUGACUGUUGCCAUAUGUCCUCAGUCUCCUCAUUCCAUAACAGCUGCCCCACAGCCAGGGUCCUUCACCAAGUUCGUGCCUGGGCGUCUCUCUAAGUUGCUUUCUCCAAAACUGCAGGAGCCUGCUUAACCCUUUUCAUGCAUGACACAGAAUUUCAGAGGAGUUAACACCCUCAGAAGCAACCCUCAACUAAGGUGAAUAAUACCUCCACCCCCCCAUCACCUGGUGUGACAGUUCUAAGGAGUGUUCUGCACAGCUUUCCACAGUGUUAAUCCAGUUCAUCAAGACACCAAUUAUUGAUGUUUUCUCUUUUUUGUCUCACUGUUUCCAUUCCGUUCUCCUGUUUUCAAGGUUAACUCCUGAAUAAACUAUUUGCACCUAAGUCUUCAUCUCAGAGUUUGCUUCUUAGGGAACCUGAACUAAAACAAGUUGUGCUUUAUAACUUUUGCAGUGAGGUUCAAUCAGCAUCUACUUCUGAGUUUUUGUUGGUUCUAUGUGUAGUUUGUUGCUCAUUGAUUUUUGUCCGCUGAUUUAAUCAAACAUGUGUAUGUGAUGCAAAGCUAACUAAGACAUGGCCCCUACUCUCAAAGUGUUUGUAGUCUGAGGAGUUCAUAACCCAUAGAAAUGUAUUGUCACAGAUACCGAAAGAUUCUUUGAGAUUCUUCUGUAACUCUUGAAAUGUUAAGAAGGAAAGAAGACAAGGGCAGUACAGGGUUCUUUGAACAGUGGGAUUGUGGGUAAUUUGACAUUGCCUUCUCCCCUUCAGCUCUGACACUGCAAACACGAAACUCCUGUAUAUCCCUCUUUCUGCUGUUUUCACCUUGUGCUGAAUGCCACCAGCCAUUUGAUUUAACUAUUGCAUUCCAGCUAGGAUCUCUGAGGCAAUGUCCUCAUAGUUAUCGCAUUAGAUACAAUUCCAGCUGGAAUCUCUGAGGAAAUAUCCUAAUGGUUAUUGCAUUGGACAGAAUGUCAUGAUUUCAUUAUUGCUUUGCUUUGAAAACAAGAACUUUUAAUCUGCAUGAGAUCAGGCUCAGGGAGGCAACAAAGCUGUUGCCUAAUAUGCAGAGGGUGAUGUAUGGUUGAUAGUGGAGGGUUCAAAUUUUGGCCCUGCUACUCACUGGGUUUGUGGUCUUAGGC
rnacentral:lncRNA from 1 species